CUGCAGGAGGAUGACUACAAAAAAGAAGCUAAUUUUUACAGCAGAGCUCUGGAAGGUUUGAAUUAUACACAACAAGUAUGGAUGGGUAUGAGUGGAACCGAAAACCUGAGAAAGUCUGCAAGACGAUGAAAAGUCUGUAUAGGAAAGCAAUUGAGCUUUGAGAACUCUUUCUUACACGGCCAAACUAUAGCACCCUACCCCAAGAGAAGACUGGAGGGUUCCUCUCUAGAGAAAGUGGAUCAAAGGCACCAUGGAUUCGGGAAUAUGAAAAACAGCAGGCAAAGGAGGUUCUACAGAGAAUGAAACAGAAGCAAGGCAGCCAGUUCCCUUUUCCAAUUCUCCCUCGAGUUGUGAUGCAGCCAGGGGUCCCUUACCAUGGUAAGUGCUAUGCUAUGUUUUGGCCUCUGCAGCCACCAUACUCCUAAGCCAAAUACAUUUCAUUGCAAAGUAUCCCGCCUCAUAUUUUGCUGUAGCAACACAAAACAAAUGCAGACUCUUAGUUGAUCUAGACUCAUUCAUAGUUUUGUCUAUUGAGGACAAAGGGGUUGUCCUCUAACUCCAGUUAGGAUCAGAAUGACUUUCACACAUUCUUCUCUCUACAGCUUUCUUUUACCUCUGUGAAGGAUAUUUUAGUACCUUUAGGGCCCCUUCUCCCAAAGAUGUAUUUGGUAAUUGUGGAAGUAUUUGUGAAGAAAGAGUUUAUUUGCUGCUACUUGCAAAUCUACUUUGUUUUCCAGAACAACUUUGCAGCCUCCUAAUGCUUACUAGUGAGAGCACUUGCUGUUACUAUUUUGAUGAGGAAAUAAAAAAGUGACUACUGUCGCAUAGCUAUGAACAAAAGCAGCUGUCUGUGUGUGCCAUACCUCUUCAGUGGCUUUCCCUUCUUGGCAGGAGUUGAUCUUUGCUGCUUAUCUGGGACCUUGUUAGAAAUGCAAAAUCUCAGACCCCA
rnacentral:lncRNA from 1 species